rnacentral:rRNA from 1 species
CACGUAGGGCGCGAGCGUUGUCCGGAAUUAUUGGGCGUAAAGAGCUCGUAGGCGGCCUGUUGCGUCCGCUGUGAAAGCCCGGGGCUUAACCCCGGGUCGGCAGUGGAUACGGGCAGGCUAGAGGUAGGUAGGGGAGAAUGGAAUUCCCGGUGUAGCGGUGAAAUGCGCAGAUAUCGGGAGGAACACCAAUGGCGAAAGCAGGUAACUGGACUAUUACUGACACUAAACUACGAAAGCUAGGGGAGCAAACAGG